CUUGGUCAUUUAGAGGAAGUAAAAGUCGUAACAAGGUCUCCGUAGGUGAACCUGCGGAGGGAUCAUUACACAAUAACAAGGCGGGCUGGACACCCCCCGCUGGGCACUGCUUCACGGCGUGCGCGGCGGGGCCGGCCCUGCUGAAUUAUUCACCCGUGUCUUUUGCGUACUUCUUGUUUCCUGGGUGGGCUCGCCCGCCCUCAGGACCAACCACAAACCUUUUGCAAUAGCAAUCAGCGUCAGUAACAACGUAAUUAAUUACAACUUUCAACAACGGAUCUCUUGGUUCUGGCAUCGAUGAAGAACGCAGCGAAAUGCGAUACGUAGUGUGAAUUGCAGAAUUCAGUGAAUCAUCGAAUCUUUGAACGCACAUUGCGCCCUUUGGUAUUCCAAAGGGCAUGCCUGUUCGAGCGUCAUUUGUACCCUCAAGCUUUGCUUGGUGUUGGGCGUCUUUUGUCUCCAGUUCGCUGGAGACUCGCCUUAAAGUCAUUGGCAGCCGGCCUACUGGUUUCGGAGCGCAGCACAAGUCGCGCUCUUCGCCAGCCAAGGUCAGCGUCCAGCAAGCCUUUUUUUCAACCUUUGACCUCGGAUCAGGUAGGGAUACCCGCUGAACUUAAGCAUAUCAAUAAGCGGAGGCACAAGAAACCAACCGGGAUUGCCCUAGUAACGGCGAGUGAAGCGGCAACAGCUCAAAUUUGAAAUCUGGCUCUUUUAGAGUCCGAGUUGUAAUUUGCAGAGGGCGCUUUGGCUUUGGCAGCGGUCCAAGUUCCUUGGAACAGGACGUCACAGAGGGUGAGAAUCCCGUACGUGGUCGCUGGCUAUUGCCGUGUAAAGCCCCUUCGACGAGUCGAGUUGUUUGGGAAU
rnacentral:sRNA from 1 species